AGCUUUUUGUUGUAGCCAAGGAUGACUUGCCUAAAAUCUUGCCAUUUCAUUUCAUGUAAAAAAACUCUAACAUCAUAUCCUGCAAUAUAAUAGAAGGUAUUUAAUUUAGUUCGCUUUUGAUUUCGUAAAAUAGUCAAAAAUAUAAUGCAAAGUCUAGGCUGGUUGUCCUCGGCUACAACAGACGCUCU
rfam:Ipomoea nil DNA, scaffold: scaffold2779, cultivar: Tokyo-kokei standard.